rnacentral:rRNA from 1 species
CAAGUCUUCGGACUUUUUCUAGCGGCGGACGGGUGAGUAACACGUGGGCAACCUGCCUGGUAGAGGGGGAUAGCCUUCCGAAAGGAAGAUUAAUACCGCAUAACAUGGUUUCAGGGCAUCCUGAAAUCAUCAAAGGAGCAAUCCGCUAUCAGAUGGGCCCGCGUCCCAUUAGCUAGUUGGUGAGGUAACGGCUCACCAAGGCGACGAUGGGUAGCCGACCUGAGAGGGUGAUCGGCCACAUUGGGACUGAGACACGGCCCAGACUCCUACGGGAGGCAGCAGUGGGGAAUAUUGCACAACGGGGGAAACCCUGAUGCAGCAACGCCGCGUGAGUGAUGAAGGCCUUCGGGUUGUAAAGCUCUGUCUUCAGGGACGAUAAUGACGGUACCUGAGGAGGAAGCCACGGCUAACUACGUGCCAGCAGCCGCGGUAAUACGUAGGUGGCAAGCGUUGUCCGGAUUUACUGGGGCGGAAAGGGAGCGUAGGCGGAUAUUUAAGUGGGAUGUGAAAUACCUGGGCUUAACUUGGGUGCUGCAUUCCAAACUGGAUAUCUGGAGUGUUGGAGAGGAAAGUGGAAUUCCUAGUGUAGCGGUGAAAUGCGUAGAGAUUAGGAAGAACACCAGUGGCGAAGGCGACUGUUCUGGACAAUAACUGACGCUGAGGCUCGAAAGCGUGGGGAGCAAACAGGAUUAGAUACUCUGGUAGUCCACGCCGUAAACGAUGGGUACUAGGUGUAGGGGGG